UGGGGAAUAUUGCACAAUGGGGGAAACCCUGAUGCAGCGACGCCGCGUGAGCGAAGAAGGUUUUCGAAUCGUAAAGCUCUGUCCUAUGAGAAGAUAAUGACGGUAUCAUAGGAGGAAGCCCCGGCUAAAUACGUGCCAGCAGCCGCGGUAAUACGUAUGGGGCGAGCGUUGUCCGGAAUUAUUGGGCGUAAAGGGUACGUAGGCGGUCUAGUAAGUCAGGUGUGAAAGCGUGAGGCUUAACCUCAUUAAGCACUUGAAACUGAUAGACUUGAGUGAAAGAGAGGAAAGUGUAAUUCCUAGUGUAGCGGUGAGAUGCGUAGAUAUUAGAAGGAAUACCGGUAGCGAAGGCGACUUUCUGGACUUUUACUGACGCUCAGGUACGAAAGCGUGGGGAGCAAACAGG
rnacentral:rRNA from 1 species